AGUGAACGCUGGCGGUAGGCCUAACACAUGCAAGUCGAACGGCAGCACAGUAAGAGCUUGCUCUUACGGGUGGCGAGUGGAGGACGGGUGAGGAAUACAUCGGAAUCUACUUUGUCGUGGGGGAUAACGUAGGGAAACUUACGAUAAUACCGCAUACGACCUACGGGUGAAAGCAGGGGAUCUUCGGACCUUGAGCGAUUGAAUGAGCCGAUGUCGGAUUAGCUAGUUGGCGGGGUAAAGGCCCACCAAGGCGACGAUCCGUAGCUGGUCUGAGAGGAUGAUCAGCCACACUGGAACUGAGACACGGUCCACACUCCUACGGGAGGCAGCAGUGGGGAAUAUUGGACAAUGGGCGCAAGCCUGAUCCAGCCAUACCGCGUGGGUGAAGAAGGCCUUCGGGUUGUAAAGCCCUUUUGUUGGGAAAGAAAAGCAGCAGGUUAAUACCCCGCUGUUCUGACGGUACCCAAAGAAUAAGCACCGGCUAACUUCGUG
rnacentral:rRNA from 1 species